rnacentral:rRNA from 1 species
UAUGUGAUCGUCUCUCGCAUAUCAAUAAGCGGAGGAAAAGAAACUAACAAGGAUUCCCCUAGUAACGGCGAGUGAAGCGGGAAGAGCUCAAAUUUGAAAUCUUAAAGGGUUUCCCUUUACGAAUUGUAGUUUAAAGAAGUGUUUUCUGUUGAGGUUUUGGUAAAAGUUCUUUGGAAUAGGACAUCAUAGAGGGUGAGAAUCCCGUAUUUGACCUUUACUUUCAACUUUGUGAUACACUUUCAAAGAGUCGGAUUGUUUGGGAAUGCAGUCCAAAAUGGGUGGUAAAUUUCAUCUAAAGCUAAAUAUUGGCGAGAGACCGAUAGCGAACAAGUACCGUGAGGGAAAGAUGAAAAGAACUUUGAAAAGAGAGUUAAACAGUACGUGAAAUUGUCAGAAGGGAAGCGUUUGACACCAGUGUUGUUUUUCUGAAAAUCAAUUAAAGAACUGUUUAUGCUAAGCUGUUUAGACCUUUAUCAGCUAACUGUUUAGUUUUGAGCUUUUCUUUAAUGCACUUUUCAGUUAACAAGUCAACAUCAAUUUCUUUUGCUGUAAAAAAGCUUGAGGAAGGUGGCUUGAGAUUCGUCUUAAGUGUUUAUAGCCUCUUGCCUAUGCAGUCGGAGAGAUUGAGGUCUGCAGCGUAGAUCCUUCGGGGCUAAAUGCAUUUGUGCUAAGUUAUAGCAUUUUAUAGACAACUUGUUGACUAUGAUUUGUCUUGUAGCUUACUCGCUUAUGUUAUUUUACCUACGCUUAGGAUGUUGAAGAUAUGCGCGACACG